AUUGAACGCUGGCGGCAGGCCUAACACAUGCAAGUCGAGCGGAUGAAGGGAGCUUGCUCCUGGAUUCAGCGGCGGACGGGUGAGUAAUGCCUAGGAAUCUGCCUGGUAGUGGGGGAAAACGUCCGGAAACGGGCGCUAAUACCGCAUACGUCCUGAGGGAGAAGGUGGGGGAUCUUCGGACCUCACGCUAUCAGAUGAGCCUAGGUCGGAUUAGCUAGUUGGUGGGGUAAAGGCCUACCAAGGCGACGAUCCGUAACUGGUCUGAGAGGAUGAUCAGUCACACUGGAACUGAGACACGGUCCAGACUCCUACGGGAGGCAGCAGUGGGGAAUAUUGGACAAUGGGCGAAAGCCUGAUCCAGCCAUGCCGCGUGUGUGAAGAAGGUCUUCGGAUUGUAAAGCACGUUAAGUUGGGAGGAAGGGCAGUAAGUUAAUACCUUGCUGUUUUGACGUUACCAACAGAAUAAGCACCGGCUAACUUCGUG
rnacentral:rRNA from 1 species